GGCCUUCGGGUUGUAAACCUCUUUUAGUAGGGAAGAAGCGAAAGUGACGGUACCUGCAGAAAAAGCACCGGCUAACUACGUGCCAGCAGCCGCGGUAAUACGUAGGGUGCAAGCGUUGUCCGGAAUUAUUGGGCGUAAAGAGCUCGUAGGCGGUUUGUCGCGUCUGCUGUGAAAUCCCGAGGCUCAACCUCGGGCUUGCAGUGGGUACGGGCAGACUAGAGUGCGGUAGGGGAGAUUGGAAUUCCUGGUGUAGCGGUGGAAUGCGCAGAUAUCAGGAGGAACACCGAUGGCGAAGGCAGAUCUCUGGGCCGUAACUGACGCUGAGGAGCGAAAGCAUGGGGAGCGAACAGGAUUAGAUACCCUGGUAGUCCAUGCCGUAAACGUUGGGCGCUAGAUGUAGGGACCUUUCCACGGUUUCUGUGUCGUAGCUAACGCAUUAAGCGCCCCGCCUGGGGAGUACGGCCGCAAGGCUAAAACUCAAAGGAAUUGACGGGGGCCCGCACAAGCGGCGGAGCAUGCGGAUUAAUUCGAUGCAACGCGAAGAACCUUACCAAGGCUUGACAUACACCGGAAACGGCCAGAGAUGGUCGCCCCCUUGUGGUCGGUGUACAGGUGGUGCAUGGUUGUCGUCAGCUCGUGUCGUGAGAUGUUGGGUUAAGUCCCGCAACGAGCGCAACCCUCGUUCUAUGUUGCCAGCGGGUU
rnacentral:rRNA from 1 species